CCGUAGCUCAGCUGGAUAGAGCAUCAGUUUCCUAAACUGAGGGUCACAGGUUCGAAUCCUGUCGGGG
rnacentral:tRNA from 1 species